UACCGACAAACGGUGAAAGCCAAUGCAUGAUGCAUGAGUCACAACUCACAAGUCACAGCUUCAAAUGUUAUCAAUGAGUUCAUCGAAACAUAGAGUUGGGUAUGCUAAAAACAGAGAAAACAGGUUUGACACAGCAAGGGGGAACGCAAACAAUGAAUUAGGCACACCAAGUUUUGAGAUGAAGACGAUUAGUUUGAAAGCGACAGGUUUUAGGCAAGCUGGCUUCCAAGCAGGAGGUCAGCUUGGACACAAUGAACCAUACAGACAGAGUACAUCGACGCAGGUGGUAAACUGCUCAAACCAAACACUUCCAGUUUUCACCACAUGGAUAACAGAGAUACAGGCCAAUUCAUCGCUCGUUCAUUAAGCAGGCACCAUCAUUAACAUCACUUUCCGCCAAACAAGUAGCCCAGGGACGAGCCACCGCCAGGAGCAGCAUGAACCUUGGUUGAAGGACGGUCCUGCGAGGGUUUAAACAGAGUCAUCAGCCAUUUCUCAGCCCACAUGGUAAACAAAAUCAGAGCCCCACAAUGACGUCUGAAUAUCUUUUCAAUACUCAAAAAUCAGAACAUUCAAGUAGGCGAAAUAACAAGAAGCUUUAACCCAUUUGCAUGGCAUUACAUUUCAGGGGGAAAAUGAACCGUUACAUUCUUGUUAUACUAUUGACUGUAGUGACAAAUAACAGAAAACGAGAUAAAUUCUUGGUAGCUUAACAUGAAUCCACAUAGGAAGUAGUUGCAAAAACUGUACUGGGCAGAAGAUUGUUCUAGCAAAAAAAAUUAAUGAUGGAUGCUGACAGUUAUUAAACUUAUGUCAAUGGAAACUUCUGACAUGCCUCAGAUGAAAUUUUAAUGGGGAAUAGCUGGAUCAAAUUAGGUUCAUUACAAGGCCAAAAACCAUACCGUAAGGAAGUUGCCCGUGUUCUGGCCAUCUGCACGGUAAUAGUUGUUCGCCCGGCUACCUGGAAUGCCAGCUGGAAUCUGCUUGGCUACAUCAGCAGCUGCCGGUGCUGGUUUCUCAGCAGGUGCGGGCUUCGCAGCUGGUGCUGCAGCAGGCUUUGCAGGCUCGCCAUCUCCAAACAGGUAACCCAGAGAACUUUGACCACCACCAGCACUCCCGCCACGACUCAUCUUGACUGUAAGAUAAAUACAUAAAUUGCAACAUAUGAGUGGACAAGUUCAGCGUGAUUGUCAGAGUGCAAUACAUUUUGGAAACAGCAAAUGAAAUCAUCAGGGAUAAAAGCUUCCGGAAAAAUUAAGAUCUCAAAGAUAAACUACAUAAGGCAAGUGAAUCUUGAAAUCAUAUGCCCAUACCGGAUAUAUUUCGACCACUAGUUACUACAAAAAUGUUGAUAUAGUGGCAUUUGAAGAAAUAUCAUGGUAAUUUAGGAGAAGACAGAAAAAAAGCAUGCAUGCUAAACCAAGUCUUCAGAUAAGAAUGCUUGGUAAGAUUAAGUAUCAGUGCUGCUUAGACUGAAUGAAGUCCAACAGGGUCAGAUAUUAUCACAAGCCACAAGGUAUGCUGUCAAUUAAAGCAUAUAAUCUACAAGGUUAGGUAAGAUCAAUUUCUGUGAAAAAGAAAGAUAAAACUCUGAAGA
rnacentral:lncRNA from 1 species